CCUACGGGGGGCAGCAGUGAGGAAUAUUGGUCAAUGGACGAGAGUCUGAACCAGCCAAGUAGCGUGAAGGAUGACUGCCCUAUGGGUUGUAAACUUCUUUUAUAUGGGAAUAAAAUGUUCCACGUGUGGGAUUUUGUAUGUACCAUAUGAAUAAGGAUCGGCGAAUUCCGUGCCAGCAGCCGCGGUAAUACGGAGGAUCCGAGCGUUAUCCGGAUUUAUUGGGUUUAAAGGGAGCGUAGGUGGAUUGUUAAGUCAGUUGUGAAAGUUUGCGGCUCAACCGUAAAAUUGCAGUUGAAACUGGCAGUCUUGAGUACAGUAGAGGUGGGCGGAAUUCGUGGUGUAGCGGUGAAAUGCUUAGAUAUCACGAAGAACUCCGAUUGCGAAGGCAGUUCACUGGACUGCAACUGACACUGAGGCUCGAAAGUGUGGGUAUCAAACAGGAUUAGAUACCCGAGUAGUC
rnacentral:rRNA from 1 species